rnacentral:misc_RNA from 1 species
ACAUCAAUGGCUAAAUGCAGCGCCAUAGGUAGACGAUAUAUUAGCAUAUGAAAGCCUCCCUCAAGUGAUAGAACUUGUUCCUGGUUCAGUUUGCACAGAGUAAGAUCGAGUAUAUCCAGCAAGUAUUUACAGGUUACACUGUGUUUGUGGAAGCUCCUUGUCACGGAACUGAGUGCCUUCUUCCGGGAGAUAUGUUUCCGGAGACUUGUGUAAUGACACAUCAUUAAGAUGAAGCUGGCCCAAGUGUGUGGAUGAAGCUGGCCCAAGUGUGUGCAACUACAGCUGUGGCUACAGAAACCAGAUGACCAUGUUGAGGAGUCUUCGACGCUGACCUCCUGCACUUGUGUCCUAACUUUCUGACCUUGGGUUCCAAUCUUUUACAAUGAGUAGUGAGUCGAUGGAGACUGUUGUCUGGCCAGACCAGACCAUGAAUGAGACAGGGACAGUGUUGUUCCCAAACUACACCUCGGUGAACAACAGCGGCAUCAACACAACAGUGCAACCCCUUAUCAAUUUCUGUAAGUUUAAGCCACCUCUGGAGCAAUGGGAAGUGGACCUCAGCUUCUAUCUGAAUGGAGUCAUCACACUGCUCAUCAUUGUCCUUGGACUUGUGGGCAAUAUGCUGACGGUCAUUGUUCUGACAAACAAGACCAUGAGGACAUCAACAAACUGCUUCCUUAUGGCCCUGGCUAUCUGGGACUCCAUCGUCCUCUUGGUCACCUUCUUCCUCAUCAGUUUAGGGGAGUUCACGGAGGAGUACAAGUACACGGUGUUCCCCUACAUUGUGGCAUUCAUAUACCCUUUGGGGCUGGUUGCACAGAUGAUAACAAUAUGGCUGACUGUUUCCUUCACAGUGGAGCGAUAUAUUGCUGUAUGUCAUCCCCUGAAAGCAGCAGGCAUGUGCACCAUCAAUCGAGCCAGAAUGGUGAUAAUAGGAGUGUGUUUUGUAUCUCUUCUUUACAACAUCCCCCGGUGGCUUGAAUACCAAGUGCUUGCUUUCACUCAUCCGCCAACGAAUGACUCCUGUAUGAUAAUCAUGCCAACAGAGUUCAACAAAGACCCAUUGUACAACAAGAUCUACUUCGGCUGGUCCUACUUUUUGGUCAUGUGUGUUAUUCCUCUUGUGUCACUGGCGGUGCUCAACACAUUUCUCAUACUGGCUGUCAGACGUUCUAAAGCACAAAGGAAAGAUAUGAAUGUUCGUCAAUCUCGGGAAAACAAUGUGACAAUUAUGUUGAUAUCGGUUGUUCUUCUGUUCAUGCUUUUUCAAGUGCCAGCUCUUAUAUACAAUAUGGCUUAUGCUAUUGAUAUAAACGCUGUCCAUUCUUCAUUUGGAUGGAAAAUUCUAUCAAUUAUUCGGAAUUUCCUUGUGAAUCUUAACAGUGCUGUUAAUUUCAUUCUGUACUGUGCUUUGGGACAGAAGUUUCGACGGACAUUUGUACGAAUCUUUUGCCCAAAGCUGCGCAAGAACUUGGAUAAUUUUAAUUCGUUUUCAAACACAUUCAAGAUGGAUAAGAUGAAGAAGGAAAAUGGUGCCAAUAAAUACGUCAAGAUGGCCAACAAGAAUAACCACACAACUUCAACAACAGGGGAUUCUGGGGUCGUCACCAAGUCUGCUGCUAUUUCCAGGAGAAAGGCUGGAAAAGUAAACAUGCGGAUUAAAAGACAUCAUCAUGUGCAAGACAAACAGUACCACUUUGACCGUCGACAUCCCACAAAUCACUUGUGAGGUGUACAAGGGUCCUGGAGACAUCCAACCAAUCAAUUGUGAGGUGUACUUGUGAACAUAAGACAUCUGACUAAUCACUUGUGAGGUGUACUUAGUGUCCUGAAGACAUCUGACCAAUCACUUGUGAGGUGUACUUGUGAACAGAAGACAUUUGACCAAUCAUUUGUGAGGUGUACUUAGUGUCCU